UAAAGAUGCACCUGCGGGAAGAGAGAGAGAGAGGAGAAGAAGGAGGAGAAAAGGGGAAAGAGAUCGAAGGGAUGAGAAUUCGGAAUCGCCCGUUACCUUCUUCAUUGCUUGUUCAAUCACCUCCUUCUUCUCCUCCUCUUUCCCCUGUUUCUUCUCCU
rnacentral:ribozyme from 1 species